GGGUGCGAGCGUUAUCCGGAUUCACUGGGUUUGAAGGGUGCGUAGGUGGGAAUGUAAGUCAGUGGUGAAAUCUCUGAGCUUAACUCAGAAACUGCCAUUGAUACUAUGUUUCUUGAAUUUUCUGGAGGUCAGCGGAAUAUGUCAUGUAGCGGUGAAAUGCUUAGAUAUGACAUAGAACACCAAUUGCGAAGGCAGCUGGCUACAGGGAUAUUGACACUGAGGCACGAAAGCGUGGGGAGCGAACAGG
rnacentral:rRNA from 1 species